UUGCUAUUGGGAUCCGAUUUAGGCCAUGCUAGUCGCACGAGUUCAGACUCGUGGCGAAUAGCUCAGUAACACGUGGCCAAACUACCCUUCGGAACACAAUACCCUCGGGAAACUGAGGCUAAUAGUGUAUACCAUACCACCACUGGAAUGAGUGGUAUGCCAAACGCUCCGGCGCCGAAGGAUGUGGCUGCGGCCGAUUAGGUAGACGGUGGGGUAACGGCCCACCGUGCCAAUAAUCGGUAUGGGUCAUGAGAGUGAGAACCCAGAGACGGAAUCUGAGACAAGAUUCCGGGCCCUACGGGGCGCAGCAGGCGCGAAACCUUUACACUGCACGACAGUGCGAUAGGGGGAUCCCAAGUGCACAGGCAUAGCGCCUGUGCUUUUCGGUACCGUAAGGUGGUACCAGAAUAAGGGCUGGGCAAGACCGGUGCCAGCCGCCGCGGUAAUACCGGCAGCCCAAGUGAUGGCCGAUCUUAUUGGGCCUAAAGCGUCCGUAGCUGGCCGCGCAAGUCCAUCGGGAAAUCCACCUGCUCAACAGGUGGGCGCCCGGUAGAAACUGCGUGGCUUGGGACCGGAAGGCGCGACGGGUACGUCCGGGGUAGGAGUGAAAUCCCGUAAUCCUGGACGGACCGCCGAUGGCGAAAGCACGUCGCGAGGACGGAUCCGACAGUGAGGGACGAAAGCCAGGGUCUCGAACCGGAUUAGAUACCCGGGUAGUCCUGGCCGUAAACAAUGUCUGCUAGGUGUGGCUCCCACUACGAGUGGGUGCUGUGCCGUAGGGAAGCCGCUAAGCAGACCGCCUGGGAAGUACGUCCGCAAGGAUGAAACUUAAAGGAAUUGGCGGGGGAGCACUA
rnacentral:rRNA from 1 species